rnacentral:rRNA from 1 species
GGCUUAACACAUGCAAGUCGAGGGGCAGCAUGACACGGAGAUUCGUCGAAGUGUUGAUGGCGACCGGCGCAAGGGUGCGUAACGCGUGAGCACUUGCCCGUUCAGGGGAUAACCGGUGGAAACGCCGACUAAUACCCCAUGGCAUCAUUGGGAGGCAUCUCCUUAUGAUUAAAGAAUUUCGGAAACGGAUAGGCUCGCGUGACAUUAGCUAGAUGGCGGGGUAACGGCCCACCAUGGCGACGAUGUCUAGGGGUUCUGAGAGGAAGAUCCCCCACACUGGAACUGAGACACGGUCCAGACUCCUACGGGAGGCAGCAGUGAGGAAUAUUGGUCAAUGGGCGCGAGCCUGAACCAGCCAAGUAGCGUGCAGGAUGACGGCCCUAUGGGUUGUAAACUGCUUUUUAUGCGGGAAUAAGAUCAGAUACGUGUAUCUGCGUGCAUGUACCGCAUGAAUAAGGACCGGCUAAUUCCGUG